rnacentral:tRNA from 1 species
GCCGGUGUGGCGGAAAGGCAGACGCGGUAGACUCAAAAUCUACUCCAGGCAACUGGGUGCAGGUUCAAGUCCUGCCACCGGCA